rnacentral:rRNA from 1 species
AGCGAACGCUGGCGGCAGGCUUAAUACAUGCAAGUCGAGCGCCUGUAGCAAUACAGGAGCGGCAGACGGGAGAGUAACACGUGGGAACGUGCCCUUUGGUUCGGAACAACACAGGGAAACUUGUGCUAAUACCGGAUAAGCCCUUACGGGGAAAGAUUUAUCGCCAAAGGAUCGGCCCGCGUCUGAUUAGCUAGUUGGUGGGGUAAUGGCCCACCAAGGCGACGAUCAGUAGCUGGUCUGAGAGGAUGAUCAGCCUCAUUGGGACUGAGACACGGCCCAAACUCCUACGGGAGGCAGCAGUAGGGAAUAUUGGACAAUGGGCGCAAGCCUGAUCCAGCCAUGCCGCGUGAGUGAUGAAGGCCUUAGGGUUGUAAAGCUCUUUCGGGCGGGGAAGAUAAUGACGGUACCCGCAUAAAGAACGCCCCGGCUAACUUCGUGCCAGCAGCCGCUGUAAC